ACCCUCUUGUGGUUCAUAAGCAUAAUUGGGCUUUCAUGUCAUUCUAUGAAAUGUGCCUUGCUCAAAUCUUGUUUUGCUAUCAGCUCAUUACCUGACUGAUA
ensembl:snoRNA